rnacentral:lncRNA from 7 species
UUCUGUUCCCUAGCCUGUGGUGGAAGAAGCUAUUCUGGAUGAAGAACCUGUAAAAGAAGUAGAAUGUCUGAGGAUCUUUCUCUCCAUGUGCUUCUAGCCUUGAAGAUGCAAGUACAAUGUGGUUGCUUUUCGUCUUUAAAGAAAGAAAAUAGAGUUGGCCAACUGGAAUCUAGGGAAAAUUAUUUUAGCUGCUGUUCUUCUGCUGCCUUUCUCAGAAAGAACACAACUUCUCCAGGCCACUGAGCCUUUCCUAAGGGGGAGAUUUGGUAAUGGCCUCAGAAAGAGUAACUACCAUCACAACGCUGCUUCUGUGUUACGAAUUGUGCCUGACUGAUUAGCUUUCCAUGUUAUUAAACUCUGAUUCCUGUACAUUCACUGGGGUCGCUCUUCAUCAAGAGCAUGACUAAUCAUUUCAUGCAAGUUUUAUUUAUUAUUUGCAUUAUUAUGGCAUUGUAUUUCUAAAAAGGAAUUGUAGGAAAGCACUGUCUUUGCCUCAGAGCUCAAAUGCCAAGUAGAAGCAAUGGAAGGUGAUAGGGAGCUGCUGGUCUGAGACAGUAAGCAAAGGACGUGUCAAAGAUUGCUCUGUAUUUCAUUAUUUCAAAAAGGAGGCUGAAAAUCUUAGGAUUGAAGAGAGGUUGCAAAGAUGUUUGUCUAAAUUGCCUCCUUUGAACACAUGAAGCUUCCCAGCUCCUGGUAAAUUUCAUGUUUUACCUUUGAGAUAUUUAGGUUUUGGUGAGGGGUAAGGUGGUGGUUGUUACUUCUUGCGAUGCUGAAGGGAGUAUCUUAAACUCCUCAUGAUAGAAAGGUGGAUGGAGUCUUGGUUUCUAAGCUCUUUCAAAUAGGUGCAACUUCAUAAUGUAAGCUUCUCUUCCUUUCAAUUGUCAAAGACAGCAAAAAAUUAUUCUCCAAAAAGACUAGGGCUGAAUUCAAGUGUAGGUAACAGUCCUCAUCAUGACAUCUUCUGAGAAUAUUGCUGAAAAUUAAGAUCAUGGUUAGUGGGCUCUUGGGUUUCAGGGGGAUGUUUUUGCUUCAUUCCUUAAAUGAAUUUAAGCAUACUUCAUUUUCAUUAAGGAUGCACCCUAGGAUUUUUAAGUUUUAACACAGACAAAAAAGUUACAGUAAAGAUUAAUUAGAAAUCUCAGCCCUCCGUCCUCUUAUUUUCUCGUGUUUUCUGCUCCAAGUACAACUUGCUAUUUGGUAUCUGUAAUUGUUUAGCUCCCAUGUAUCUGCUCCUGCUGCAGAAAGACAGUUGUGGUGCCUGCGUUUCUAAUGGGAGUGAUGCUGUUAUGUCUGACAAACUUGUUGUAAUUAUGUAUUAGAAAACAGUGUGGCCACUAGUAAAUCCUCGACAGUGAAAUGUCUGUCAAAUGUCAAAGUUCCCUCACCAUUCAAUUAACUUUCCUUGGUGUUCUACAGAGAAUAUCGUUAAGGAAAAUGACUGGGUUACUUUGCCCUUUCUCUGCUGCUGUCAUGUCACUUCAGACAUUAUCUGGCUGAGACUGUAAGCCUGAUAAUUCUGGUGAAGUGUACAUCUUGCUGCAGGGGUUUUGAAGGGAACUGUCUGCUGUUGAGGUGAAUUUUCUUACCAACGGCUUUUUGUGCCUAAUUCCAAAGUCAGUUUUUGCAUGAAACAUUAAAGCACGACUUAGGGGGUGAAUUGAAAUCAGGAUAUGCAAUGAAUAACACUUGCUCAGAGGACGCUCUUGUCAGAAACUUGCUCUGGGCUAUGUUGGCCUCCUGCUGUUUCUCUAAUCAAGGGCGUAGUACAGACAAAUGAGACAGUGGCAAAUACAUUAUGGAAACU